GCCUCUGUCGUCUAGCGGUCAGGACACGAGUUUCAUAAGCUCGAUAUCGUCGGUUCAAAUCCGACCAGAGGCA
rnacentral:tRNA from 1 species